GUUUCCUUAGAUCAAAAAACAAAGCCACCACAUCAAAAUCUUAGUCAUAGAGAAGUAGGGUUGGAAGGGAUUCUCCAGAGGUCAUCUAGUCCAACCCACUACAGGAGGCAGGAUCACCCCUAUCCAAACCAUCCCAUACAACCAAUAAGCUAAACUCUACAUAAGACUACCCUCAACCCUGACACAAUGUAGACCUAACACCCUAAACUGCCACAGGGAAAGCAGGAGUGUCACAAUAGUCAGUGUUCUGCUUCUACAAAAUGCUGUCAAUAUAUUUAGUCCUUGUCAUACAAAUGCUACCUUCCCUCUUUUUCAGGGAUCUGAGUUUUCCACGGAAAAACAGAAAAUCAUGGAUUUCCCAAUUUUAUCAGAGAAAAAACAGAUUUUCCCUUUUAGCAGAGAAACUUGCAGAUCUCCCACUUGCAAAGAGCUGUGCAUGUGGCAGAGUUCCAGCCUGCAAGAGCUAACUGCAAAAAGGGCAGGAAACCCCCAACCCUACCUGGAGGGCGAGGGAGAAGGGGACGGGUGGGCCUGAGGCGCUCACUCACCCAAGGCUGGGCUCAGGCUCACUUUCCUUCCCGGAGCCUGUGAGGCUGUUGAGCGCAGCAAGGAAGGUAGUGAUGCUUCUGACAGUGAACUGCUGGUCAGGCUAACCUUGGAUAUAUACAACCUCAAGGUAUGCGACAGACAAAGUAUUUCAUCCCACUGAAAUAAAUGAGCAUACGUCACAGCCAACAGCACUAAAGCCUUGUUUACAUUACGAAGUCUGCCAGCAGAAAUGCACCUUCACAACUAUUGUUAUCUGUGUUAUUAAAACUGGCAUCAGUUUUGUCUGUCUGUGA